AUGUAUACAAGCAAUAUCAUGCUAGAACCACCAGGAGCAGGACAGUCUUACACGGAGCUAAUGCAACAAAUGACAGUAUUGAGUCAUCUACAAACUGACAACAUGGCAAUACCUAUAACAAGUUUCACAUCAUUCUUGACUGCUGGCAUAAGUUCUGAGCAUCAAGCAGCAGGACCAAGUGCAAGCAACAAUGGGCAACAACUUAAUGAUUGGUUACCUUUAGACAAAGAGCAUGAAGAUGACGAUGAAGGUAACAAUAAUGAAGAAGCAAAUGUCAGUGAAACUGAAUCUGAUGGUGAGCAUGAAGAUGAUGAUGAAGGUUACAAUCAAGGUGAAGUAAAUCGCAGUGAGUCUGAAUCUGAUGGUGAGCAUGAAUUUGACUGCAACAACGAUGAGAAUGGAAGUUAUGCAAAUGAAGAUUACGCAGAGUGCAAUAGUGAUCAAAAUGAAACUGAUGCAGAGGAACAAUACCUGGAUCAAAAUACAUUAUCGCCUGAUUAA
rnacentral:rRNA from 1 species